UAUGUACUAUCAUCAUGCUUUGUCCCAUCAGUAAAAAAUAUGACCAAGACCUCUACCUGAAGAAGAAAUAGUCAAUAAGUAGAGCACAUAAGACAUAAGCAAAUUUGACAGCAGGUGGAAAGCCAAUCAUUGUUGCAAAAAGAAAGAAAGAAAUAGAGCAGGGUAAAUGGGGGUGGGAGGAGGUUCAGGAAGGUGCAGAUCUCGUUUCAAUGAGGCAAAGAAGGCAACAUCUCAGCAAAGACUUGUAGAAAGUGAGAGUUCAGCAGCACAUAACAGAAUUCCAGAUAAAAGGCAUAGGCAGUAUGAAGCUAUUACAUAAGGAAUGAGCCAGGUGGCAAGGUACAAGAAUAGGAGACUCUGCACAGGGUACAAAGGUAAGUUAACAUACUAGGCAAUUUGUCUCCCUUCCCUUUAGACUGGCACAGAGUUGAUUGGGUGAUGGGAUCAUGUUAUAAGUCUUCUUCACAGGAAUUUGGGUUGUCAAGGCCCACUCUAAGGAAGCAUGCCGUUGCCUGUCUAGAGUUAUAUCAUAUUCUAACACCUAGUCAGUGUGAGAAAUCUUUUCCCAAUCCUCUUGUUUAGUAUGAGAGAAACACAAUUUGAAAAAAUCUUUGGGACUGUACCGUUCACCUUUUAAACCAAUUAGGUUGCUUUGCAUGUCGUCUUAAGAGUCACAAACAAAACAAAAAAAAACUGUAUUUAGUAACAUGACUGUGCCAUCAGGCUUUUCACCUUGAUUUUCUAAUCUUGAAAAUUAAUAACUUUUCCAAUGAGCCUGAGCUUCCAGCUAGGAGACACACUGUAGACAUCUCCACAGUCAUUUACAUAGUGCCGGAUUAUAAAUGUCUGAUAUUACACGAAUUAGUGCUGAGCUGCAAGAACAAAGUAAAUAAUUAGCACCAGCACACAUGGUGGAUUCUAUUUCAAAUCUCCUCUUGCUGCCACCCUGAUAUAAGCAAAAGAGACUGGUCAUGUAUCUGCUGAUCACUGCUGCAGUAACACUCACCACAAAUCAAUUUCCACCUGUUCGCAGUUCCAAAAAUAGCACAGUGCCAAGAUUUCUGUGUGCUACAGAAUGUGGUGGGUCUGAGGGAUUGAAUAAAGCACAAUUUUGAAUGCACGGUUUCUUCAGAGAGGAUCCAGAAUGAGCAUCUGCAAUUGCAAUUCUUGGAUAAGUCCCUGACAAGACUUGGACAGUCUCUGGGAUUGUCAUCUGAGAAUUAUACUAUAUUGCACAUAGUAUAAUCCGUGAGUUGGCGUAUGUGUAUGCGUUGUGUGUGUGUGUAUUUGUGCAUCUUUGUUUUUGUUUCUGACUGUGCUCACACAAUGCUAUACUCACUUAGGAAUAGAGAUCACGUUUGGAGGACAGUUCAAACCAGAAAAUAUAGAUCAUCAAAGACCAAACCUUAUAUAUGAGUCAGAUCAUCUUUAAAUGAUUUAUAAUAUUUUAAAUGUGGUUUGAGGCAACUGAACAAGAAAUUUGUCUGUUGCAAAACAUAACUU